rnacentral:rRNA from 1 species
ACGCGAGCUGGGUUCAGAACGUCGUGAGACAGUUCGGUCCCUAUCCGUCGCAGGCGUAGGAAAUUUGAGAAGACCUGUCCGUAGUGCGAGAGGACCGGGGUGGACGUAGCUCUGGUGGACGAGUUGUCCUGCCAAGGGCAUGGCUGGGUGGCUAUGUACGGAAUGGAUAAGCGCUGAAAGCAUCUAAGCGCGAAGCCAACUUCAAGAU